rnacentral:lncRNA from 1 species
CUCAACUUGCAAAUAUGUGUUUAGCAAUUUAGGCUGGGAAGUGAAGACAGGCUAUAGGCUCCUAAUGUUUUUUUCACUUGGGUCUUUGAAAUCUGAGAUCCACUUUGAUUUUUCUGAGCCAAAAUGUCCUGAAUGGAAAUAUUGCCAGAAAUAUGCUUUAUAAACACAGGCAGUAAAGCCUUGGAAGUGCAUAGAGAAAAAUGUCUUCAAAUUGUAAAUCCCAGUGAGUAGGGGUUUUUUCCAAACAAUUUCUGGAAAAUCUCUUAAAUUUCUAAUCUACAGUGUGGUGCAUUAAACAGAGCUUAGAGACCUCGUGUCCUAUAAUGGUAUUCCACGGAAGCAGCACCAGGACAGGCCCUGCCUCUUCUUUUUUUUUUUGAGACAGACUCUUGCUCUGUCACACAGGCUGGAAUGCAGUGGUGCAAUCUCGGCUCACUACAACAUCCACCUCCCAGGUUCAAGCGAUUCUCCUGCUUCAGCCUCCUGAGUAGCUAGAAUUACAGGCACUCACCACCACACCUGGCUAAGUUUUUUGUAUUUUUAGUAGAGACAGGGUUUCACCAUGUUGGCCAGGCUCGUCUGGAACUCUGGACUGACCUCAAGUGAUACACCCACCUCAGUCUCCCAAAGUGCUGGGAUUACAGGCAUGUGCCACCAUGCCCAGCUAAUUUUUGUAUUUUUAGUAGAGAUGGGGUUUCACCAUGUUGGCCAGGAUGGUCUCCAUCUCUUGACCUUGUGAUCCACCCACCUCGGCCUCCCAAAGUGCUGGGAUUAUAGGUGUGAGCCACCGUGUCCAGCUUUUUUUUUUUUUUAAAUAAGAUGGAGUCUUGCUUUGUCACCCAUGCUGGAGAGCAGUGGCACAGUCAUGGCUUCCUGCAAGCUUGACCUCCUGGGCUCAGGUGAUCCUUCUACCUCAGCCUCUCGAGUAGCUGAAACUACAGGCACCUGCCACCAUGUCUGGCUAAUUUUUCUAUUUUUUGUAUAGACAGGGUUUCUCCAUGUUGCCGAGGCUG